GAGCUCGUUUAGGCAGUACAUAUACUAAAAUUGGAACGAUACAGAGAUUAGCAUGGCCCCUGUGCAAGGAUGACAUGCACAUUCAUGAAGUGGUCCAGAUUUAA
ensembl:snRNA U6 U6 spliceosomal RNA